CCCUUUUUCAAAUAUGUUUCUUCAUUCCUUUGCUCUCUAUAAAACCACAUGGGAGGGCUUCCCUGGUGGUGCAGGCAGAUUCUUAACCACUGCACUACCAGGGAAGUCCCAGAUGUUAUUUCUUUUGGUAAGAGUUUGGAAUAUAAAGGAAGGAGAAAGAUAAGAUAUAAAUUGGGGAGAUUAACGGAGUUCAGGGAAGACCUCUUGAGUGAACAAAAUCCUGUAAAGAAAGGAAAAAGGUUCAUAUAUGUAGACACAGGGCUUAGUGUUAGGGAAGAGAAGAUAGAUGUUGAGAUAGGAGCACAAAACGGAUGAUAAGGAUGAGAAGAGAGAUGGGUAUUUUGAUAAAGAGAAGGUCUUUCAGUGCCACCUUGUUAGAUCAGCCCAUGGCCCCCACUGUUGAGAGCUUGUGAGUGCCUCUUUCUCACUACGCCACAUGGGGCUGUUAAUUCCAACUUUCUGAACUGAUACUGUUUGAUAAGCACUGCCAGGGCUAAGGACAGAGCUCUGUAGAGGUGUAAGAAAGCCUCUCCAAGUGGCCACUGACCAACAGUGAAUCGAGCCGCCAUUCAUGCAACACAAUCAUUAAGAAUCUCAGGGCUGGAGGCAUCUGAAAGGCCAUCUGGCCCAAGAUCACCUGAAUUCCCUCCACAGCAUCUCCAGCAGGCGGUUACAUAUAAGCUGCAUUUGAACAGCAUCCCAUUUGGUAUCUUGCAAGCCAGACCUUUCUUUCUCAGGUUAGACUGUUCAGCACAGGAAUUCUCCCACUGAUCUGCCAUAGACUUGAAAUUGCCAUUUUCAAUCACUCCUUAGGCUUAACAGACUGAAGGAUUCUUUUAAACCACAAAUACAUAACCUGGGGAUGGAGAUGCUGGUGAUGCCUUUUCUGUAAGAGUCCUUGUCAGUCACAAAGGAUGACUCCAAGGAGGGGUAAAUCUAACGUGCGGUGGGAGGGCUGCAGAUGUUAACAUCUGAGAACGCUUAACACCAAGGGAUGUUAAAGAGCAUUAGACACUGCUACAAAAGCCAACAUGCAAGCACAGGGUAUUCAGAGGAAGGGAAAUAUUGAAGUCAUGUUCAUCCUUUGUCUUAUUCUGGCCCCAGGUGGGCACUGGGGUGUGCCACCAUCUAAAGAGGAGCCCGGGCUUCCCUGGUGGCGCAGUGGUUGAGAGUCCGCCUGCCGAUGCAGGGGACACGGGUUCGUGCCCCGGUCCGG
rnacentral:lncRNA from 1 species